rnacentral:lncRNA from 1 species
UCUGUAUUCUUUCAAAAUUGAAAAUAAUCACCUUUGCACUCAAACAAUAUGAUCCAUCUAUUAUUCUUAAUGUUUUUCUAGCAUGAAUUAGUUGUAUGUUAGUUAAUAAGUAUUUGAUUAGGAGUAAAACUUUGCGACUUGUCCUUCCCCACACUUCCUCUCUCUCCCUUCCUAUUUCCCUUUUCUGGGGAUUGAACUUAGGACUCUAAUGUAUGCUGAAUGUGCUCUCUACCACUGAGCUCCACUACAAAGCCAAAGAUUAUGUUGUUUCUUUUUCAGAAAAUAAAUCUAUGUUGUCAUCUUUGUAGCAUACAUACUUCAGAACAGAUUAUUUGAGAAUUGUGAAAAUACUUUGUAGAUAAAAUUUUGAAUGAAAAAUUUUCCAUAAUACUUACCAUGCAUUUAAGAAAUCCCUUCAAAAUUUAUACAUGUGCCCUUUCUAACAGUCCUCUGGGAUCCAGUUCCUCAGAAAAGUGUCAUCAGUUGCUAGGCAGUAAGGGGAGAACAAGAAGAGAAUUGAUGCUUAGUAUAUGCGUUCUGCAAGCUAUGAUGGUCACUUGGAUUUGAGAUGUACUCUCUGUGUUUAAAACCUGUGAAAAAGAGGGGUUAAAAAGGCUGAAUAUCUUUGUACCUUAAUGAGAGAAUGAUUGCUGUAAUAGUAUCAAAGAUAAACCAGUAUAUUAGAAACAGUAAAUGAUAAAGGGCGAUAAUAUGCCAUUCUUGAGACUUCUUGGCUCUUACCUAACACAUCAGAAAGUGAUUGUUGAAUUUUAAAUAGCCAUACAAAUGGAUGACAUAGAAAUUUAACUUUGCUUUGACCUUAUUCUAAUUCACAAGAUGACUGCAAAAUGACUUUGUUGCAUCUGAAUGUAUGCUGGAUGCUAAAUCACUCCAGAGUAUAAAAUCUUUGUUUUGGCAUAAUGUUGAUGCAUAAACAUUUGUACCCCAUACUAACCCUAUAAACAUCACAAUCCAUCAGUACAAUUACAAAAAAGAUUGUUUGUUUUCACACUUAAAGCAGACAUGAAAUAGAGUGUCCUUAACUUAAUCACCACCUUGAUUUACCACAUUUGCAUAUAUUUGCAUAUUAAUUGGACUACAGAUUAAAAUUGGUUUUGUAAUUUUAAUUAAGUGUCCACAAAGGUAAAUGAUUAGAACUGUUUAAAAUACAUUCUGACAUAAAUAGCAGUAAAAGCUUUUGUGAUGAUGUUUUUGUGGAAUUACAUUCAGAAAGUGGCCUUUUAUGAUAGUAAUUUUAAUCUUAAAUAGAAUUAUACAGUCAAACAGAACUGUGGAUUCAUAAUCAUUUUUUUCAAGAUCCAUUUAAUAUUUUGCUGAUUUGCAGCACUUGGUGAAACGUUCUGUAGGUUUAGCUGAUUGCAAAAUGAGGCCUCUGGAGCUGAUCAACUGAGACUUUAAACCCACAAUGUCUAGAUGCUACAUAUGCUUCAAAGUAUAUAUCUCACUGUCUGUGAGUCUGUGUGGGUGUAUGUACUCCUGCAUGCCUGUGUGUAUCAAUGGAAUUAACUCACAUAACCCUUUUAAUGACAUGCCCUUUAAAAACAGAAUCACCUUAAGGGACCAUCAUAUUCCCAGUUUAAGUUAGGGAACAUAUAAAAUGUUUAAGAGUCUCUUCAGCAUAUUAUUUUGUUGCUCAGAAGUAUCAUUUUUGACAUAGGCCAAGGUGUGCUGACUUAAUAGCAGGUCGUCCUCACUGGUGCCUUCUCUUUGGGGGGGGUGACACUCACAGAAUGAACAUGAUAAUUGUUGGGGAAAUGCACUUUCCCCCUUCAAAACCUGAGAUACUUAACAUGUGGCGUGUGUUUUCUGUUAUACCAGACAGAAAAUUGGUCUUCCCAGAAGGUUACUGGAUGCCUAGCACCCUCUUGCUUCCAGCUGGCAUUUUCCUGUUUGGAUCCUUUUAAAUGUUGGAUGCUGAAACCCUCCCCACUCCCAGCUGCCACCUUCUUCCCUGGCGGUACCCUAGAUUUAGCUCCCUAAUGCUUCCUUGCACCCAGCUGCUUCUCUGUCUGGCUCCUGGCUAUGGAGAAUGGAUUGGGAUGAAUAAUCUUUUCCCUACAAGUCUCCACCCAACAACUCUUUAAUUGGAUUUCUUUUCAAAGCUGCGACAUGGCUAAAUUUGCCAUGAAUGACAUAAAUAUCAUGUUGUUUUAUUUUGUAUUUUGAGUUUUGAAUACAUGUGGAUGCACCUUCUUGUAAAAGUUUAUGAAGAGCCAAUCAACUAAACCUUUUGAUUGUCCUAAAUUGUAUAAAGGACAUACUUUCUUAAAAGCAGAACAUCAUAAAUCAAGUUAUAAAAGUCAGUUUUUAAACCUGAUUUU